UACGGAGGGUGCAAGCGUUAUCCGGAUUCACUGGGUUUAAAGGGUGCGUAGGUGGGCAGUUAAGUCAGUGGUGAAAUCUCCGGGCUCAACCCGGAAACUGCCAUUGAUACUAUCUAUCUUGAAUAUCGUGGAGGUAAGCGGAAUAUGUCAUGUAGCGGUGAAAUGCUUAGAUAUGACAUAGAACACCAAUUGCGAAGGCAGCAUUACUUACCCGAAUAAUUUGACACUGAGGCACGAAAGCGUGGGGAUCAAACAGG
rnacentral:rRNA from 1 species